AUGGCGUCGGCAGACGAAGCGAAUGCGGCGGCCGAAGGUACGGAGGGGAAGAACUGGCAGCGGAAGGGGAAGCACAAGAAGGAGAAGCCGUGGGACGAUGACCCCAACAUCGACCGCUGGACGGUGGAGAAGUUCGACCCCUCCUGGAACGAGGGCGGCCUGCUGGAAGUCAGCUCCUUCUCCACCCUCUUCCCCCAGUACCGAGAGAAGUAUCUGCAGGAGACAUGGCCGAUCGUCAAGGGCGCACUCAAGGAGUUUGGAGUCUCAUGCGAGCUCAAUUUGGUGGAGGGAUCCAUGACGGUUUCCACCACCAGGAAGACCAGGGACCCCUACAUUAUUCUCAAGGCCAGGGACCUGAUAAAGCUCUUGUCGCGAAGUGUCCCUGCACCCCAAGCAAUUAAAGUGCUCAAUGAUGAGAUGAACUGUGAUAUUGUCAAGAUUGGUAGCAUCAUAAGAAACAAGGAAAGAUUUGUCAAAAGGAGAGAACGCCUUUUGGGCCCUAACCUGUCGACCCUUAAGGCUAUAGAGAUUUUGACUGGCUGCUACAUCUUAGUACAGGGAAAUACUGUGGCUGCCAUGGGUUCCUUUAAGGGACUGAAACAGGUCCGGAAGAUUGUAGAGGAUUGCAUAAAGAACAUAAAGCAUCCAGUGUACCACAUUAAGGAACUCCUUAUUAAACGUGAGCUGGCUAAAAAUCCUGCCCUAGCCACUGAAAGUUGGGACAGGUUUCUACCGAACUUUAAGAAAAAGAAUGUCAAGCAAAAGAAGCCCAAUACUAAGGAGAAGAAACAAUACACACCCUUUCCGCCGCCUCAGCAGCCUAGCAAGAUUGAUCUUGAACUGGAGAGUGGUGAGUAUUUCAUGAGUGACAAGAAGAAGUCAGCUAAGAAAUGGCAAGAGAAGCUAGAUAAGCAAUCAGAGAAAUCAGAAGAAAAGAAAAGAAAGAGAGAAGCGGCAUUUGUUCCACCGAAGGAGAACACUGCUGGUCUAUCUGAAUCUGCCAAAAGUACUAAUGCCAACGAGAUUGCUGAUAUCACAAAAUCCUUAAAGAAAAAGGCAAAGAAAUUCAGAAAUAGUGAAGCCGAGGAAAAUGUGAAAAUCGAGUCAUAUGUUGCGAGCAAUGAAGAAUCACACUCCAAAAAGAAGCACAAAUCAUCAUCCAAGUAA
rnacentral:rRNA from 1 species